rnacentral:snoRNA from 2 species
CCCCUCUCAGGGUCACACCUGGAGAGUUUCCAGUACUCUACCAGUCUCGACUAUGGGAGAGAGAGUCAAGCAGAGGUAUAUCCCAUUCAUUCCUAGCUUGGGCAGUGACUAGCGAGUGGAAGACAAUCUGCUACAAGU